CCUACGGGCGGCUGCAGUGAGGAAUAUUGGUCAAUGGACGAGAGUCUGAACCAGCCAAGUAGCGUGAAGGAUGACUGCCCUAUGGGUUGUAAACUUCUUUUAUAUGGGAAUAAAAUGUUCCACGUGUGGGAUUUUGUAUGUACCAUAUGAAUAAGGCACGGCUAACUCCGUGCCAGCAGCCGCGGUAAUACGGAGGAUCCGAGCGUUAUCCGGAUUUAUUGGGUGUAAAGGGAGCGUAGGUGGAUUGUGAAGUAAGUUGUGAAAGUUUGCGGCUCAACCGUAAAAUUGCAGUUGAAACUGGCAGUCUUGAGUACAGUAGAGGUGGGCGGAAUUCGUGGUGUAGCGGUGAAAUGCUUAGAUAUCACGAAGAACGCCGAUUGCGAAGGCAGUUCACUGGACUGCAACUGACACUGAGGCUCGAAAGUGUGGGUAUCAAACAGGAUUAGAUACCCUUGUAGUC
rnacentral:rRNA from 1 species